rnacentral:rRNA from 1 species
CACUUCUAAGGAAGGCAGCAGGCGCGCAAAUUACCCAAUCCUGACUCAGGGAGGUAGUGACAAGAAAUAACAAUAAACCGGCUUAUGCCGGUUUAAUUGGAAUGAGUACAAUUUAAACAUCUUAACGAGGAACAAUUGGAGGGCAAGUCUGGUGCCAGCAGCCGCGGUAAUUCCAGCUCCAAUAGCGUAUACUAAAGUUGUUGCAGUUAAAAAGCUCGUAGUUGGAUUUCUGUGGGGACGGAGCGGCCGGCCGCACAUCGCGGUUCGAGCUAGCGCUUUCCCUACAUCCUGCCGCGAACCGUGCUACCAUUAAUUUGGUGGCGCUGGGGAUCGGCUCGAUUACUUUGAGAAAAAUAGAGUGUUCAAAGCAGGCCACAUGCCUUGAAUAAGUUAGCAUGGAAUAAUAACUAAGGACUUCGGUUCUAUUUUGUUGGUGUUCGGGACUGAAGUAAUGAUUGAUAGGGACAGUUGGGGCGGUCUGUAUUCCAAAGCGAGAGGUGAAAUUCUUAGACCUUCGGAAGACAAACAGCUGCGAAAGCGUUCCGCAAGGAUGUUCCCUUUGAUCAAGAACGAAAGUUGGGGGAUCGAAGACGAUCAGAUACCGUCGUAGUUUCAACUAUAAACUAUACCAGCUAGGGAUCGGCCAACGUUAUUUAAACCGACUUGGUCGGCACCUUAUGAGAAAUCAAAGCAUCUGGGUUCCGGGGGGAGUAUGGUCGCAAGGCUGAAACUUAAAGGAAUUGACGGAAGGGCACCACCAGCCGUGGAGCCUGUGGCUUAAUUUGACUCAACACGGGAAAACUUACCAGGUCCAGACAUAGUAAGGAUUGACAGAUUGAUAGCUCUUUCUUGAUUCUGUGGGUGGUGGUGCAUGGCCGUUCUUAGUUGGUGGAGUGAUUUGUCUGGUUAAUUCCGUUAACGAACGAGACCCCAGCCUGCUAAAUAGCGCGCGUGAGCUUUGCUCGCGGCGAGCUUCUUAGAGGGACUAUGAUGCGCGAUAGCACAUGGAAGUUUGGGGCAAUAACAGGUCUGUGAUGCCCUUAGAUGUUCUGGGCCGCACACGGGCUACACUGGCGCCUGCAACGAGCAUAUCAGCUGGCCCGAGAGGGUCUUGGCUAAUCUUUUGAACCGGCGCCGUGCUUGGGAUUGACCUUUGCAAUUGUUGGUCAUGCAACGAGGAAUGCCUUGUAAACGCGAAUCAUCAGCUCGCAUUGAAUACGUCCCUGCCCUUUGUACACACCGCCCGUCGCUCCUACCGAUGAAUGUUCCGAUGAAAUUUUCGGAGAGCACCUGUGAACUUGGCUCUGCCUUGCGAACGGGAGGCUCAAAGUCACUUAAAUCUGAGCAU